rnacentral:rRNA from 1 species
UCCAGAGUUUGAUCAUGGCUCAGAGUGAACGCUGGCGGUAGGCCUAANACAUGCAAGUCGAACGGCAGCACAGGAGAGCUUGCUCUCUGGGUGGCGAGUGGCGGACGGGUGAGGAAUACAUCGGAAUCUACCUUUUCGUGGGGGAUAACGUAGGGAAACUUACGCUAAUACCGCAUACGACCUACGGGUGAAAGUGGGGGACCGCAAGGCCUCACGCGAUUAGAUGAGCCGAUGUCCGAUUAGCUAGUUGGCGGGGUAAUGGCNNUCCNAGGCGACGNGGNAUAGCUUUCNGNCGUAUGNNNGGUCACUGAACUGGCCGCAC